rnacentral:rRNA from 1 species
AUUGAACGCUGGCGGCAUGCCUUACACAUGCAAGUCGAACGGCAGCACGGGAGCAAUCCUGGUGGCGAGUGGCGAACGGGUGAGUAAUAUAUCGGAACGUGCCCAGUCGUGGGGGAUAACGCAGCGAAAGCUGCGCUAAUACCGCAUACGAUCUGAGGAUGAAAGCGGGGGGCCGUAAGGCCUCGCGCGAUCGGAGCGGCCGAUGUCAGAUUAGGUAGUUGGUGGGGUAAAGGCUCACCAAGCCGACGAUCUGUAGCUGGUCUGAGAGGAUGAUCCGCCACACUGGGACUGAGACACGGCCCAGACUCCUACGGGAGGCAGCAGUGGGGAAUUUUGGACAAUGGGCGCAAGCCUGAUCCAGCCAUGCCGCGUGAGUGAAGAAGGCC